rnacentral:tRNA from 1 species
GCUCUUGUAGUGUAGUGGUUAGCACGCGCGGUUUUGAUAAAUUAAAAAUUCCGAGCAACACAGGUUCGAAUCCUGUCGAGAGCU